rnacentral:rRNA from 1 species
CCUACGGGAGGCAGCAGUGGGGGAUAUUGCACAAUGGAGGAAACUCUGAUGCAGCGACGCCGCGUGAGGGAAGACGGUCUUCUGAUUGUAAACCUCUGUCUUUGAGGAAGAAAAUGCCGGUACCCAAAGAGGUAGCUCAGGCUCACUACGUGCCAGCAGCGGCGGUAAUACGUAGGCAGCGGGCGUUGUCCGGAAUUACUGGGUGUAAAGGGAGCGUAGGCGGGUGAGAAAGUUCACGGUAAAAUCUUCCGGCUUAACUCGUAGCAGCGUUCGAAACUUCUUGUCUUGAGUGAAGUAGAGGCAGGCGGAAUGCCUGGUGUAGCGGUGAAAUGCAUAGAUAUUAGGAGGAACACCAGUGGCGAAGGCGGCCUGCUGGGCUUUAACUGACGCUGAAGCUCGAAAGCGUGGGGAGCAAACAGGAUUAGAUACCCUUGUAGUC